UGGCCUUCUGUUCCUCUUGAAAUUUACCUCCU
rnacentral:piRNA from 1 species